AACAAACCCGGGACACAGAAGUUCAAACAAUAGACUAUCAACUCUGAAAACUAAAAGUAAAAAAGAAACAUGGAUCACGAAAAACAUGCAGGUACGACACCAGAUAGUGAAGAGAACUUGCUUCUUGUUAGACACUUUCCGUGAAAACAAUUUGAUAUUAAGACAAUCUUUUUUUUUAAAUUUCUAACAUGAGGCAUUUGCCUCAUUUGCCUCAAUGUAGUUACGGCCCUGAA
rnacentral:lncRNA from 1 species